ACUUUAUACAAUUUAAAGAGAUAUUUAUAUUCUAUUUUUCACUUGUAAAGAGGAAAAACUAUGAAUAAAAUUCUCAAGUUUGUUUAUGAAAUGAUUCUAUUUCUUUCCUUAUUUCAUCUUGCAAGGGAAGUUCAUGAUCACAUACUGAUAUUCCAUGUGAACCCGAUGCUGAUUGUCCAAAAUCAUUGCAUGAGUAUUUUGAAAUGAAGUGCAUUGAUAAAAAAUGUGAAUGGAGUAGGAAGACAUCUCUGAUUCCCUGAACACACCACCUAUAGAAUACAUUGAAUAGUGAUGAUGAAACGUCACAUAUAAUAUUUUUUGCUAUGUUUUUAGUUAUUUUAUUUGCAUUUGAAAGCAAAUAAGAAGUCAAUUAGAGGAGAUGUCAAUGGUUUUAGUAACAUUUUGUUUUUAUUUGAGUCGUUAUAAUUCAGUUUUAUCCUAAAUUAUCCAACUUCAUUGGUGUUUUGAGUCUUUUUAGUGAAAAAUUAUGUAAAUCGGCAACACAAGACAUCAUGUGAAGGAUGAGGAUAUGAAGACUCCUGAUACGCACAUGCGCGCACGUACCAUGUGCCAUACGUAUACAUUGCGAGCAAAAUGUGUUUUCUUGUUUUUCAAGAUGGAUCGGUGGAAAAACCCAAUUUUUUCUCUUAAAUCCUAAGUAAUGAUGUGCUAUAUAUAUAGACCCUUGCACACUCUUCUAAUUAUUCAGAAAGUUCGUAGGACAAGGAAAGGUUCAAGCAUCAGAGCUUUAAGGCAGAGGAUCUUGAUUCUCCUCUUGUUCUCUCUAGGGCAUGCUUGUCUAUUGCUUUGUAAUGGUAUGCUGUCAUGUGCAACUAAACCUCUUUGAUCAGGGUUCCACGAGAAACCCCUUCUUAUUUUUUGGAUUCAAUUAAUAAAGUUUUUAUUCAGUUUAUGA